rnacentral:rRNA from 1 species
AGAGUUUGAUCCUGGCUCAGGAUGAACGCUAGCGACAGGCUUAACACAUGCAAGUCGAGGGGCAUCACGUUCGUAGCAAUACGGAUGGUGGCGACCGGCGCACGGGUGAGUAACGCGUAUGCAACCUGCCUAUCAGAGAGGGAUAACCCGUCGAAAGUCGGACUAAUACUUCAUAAGACAGCUGUUCCGCAUGGGGCGGCAAAGUUAAAGGAAAAUUGCUGAUAGAUGGGCAUGCGUUCCAUUAGUUAGUUGGUGAGGUAACGGCUCACCAAGGCGACGAUGGAUAGGGGUUCUGAGAGGAAGGUCCCCCACACUGGUACUGAGACACGGACCAGACUCCUACGGGAGGCAGCAGUGAGGAAUAUUGGUCAAUGGGCGAGAGCCUGAACCAGCCAAGUCGCGUGAAGGAAGACGGAUCUAUGGUUUGUAAACUUCUUUUAUACGGGAAUAACGGUCGUUAUGAAUAACGGCGUGAAUGUACCGUAAUGAAUAAGCAUCGGCUAACUCCGUGCCAGCAGCCGCGGUAAUACGGAGGAUGCGAGCGUUAUCCGGAUUUAUUGGGUUUAAAGGGUGCGUAGGUUGUAGAUUAAGUCAGCGGUGAAAGAUUGUCGCUCAACGAUAAUAAUGCCGUUGAAACUGGUCUACUAGCGUGUAAUAGAAGUAGGCGGAAUGCGUGGUGUAGCGGUGAAAUGCAUAGAUAUCACGCAGAACUCCGAUAGCGAAGGCAGCUUACUAAGUUAUAACGGACACUGAAGCACGAAAGCGUGGGGAUCAAACAGGAUUAGAUACCCUGGUAGUCCACGCCGUAAACGAUGAUUACUAGCUGUUUGCGAUAUAGUGUAAGUGGCAAAGCGAAAGCGUUAAGUAAUCCACCUGGGGAGUACGCCGGCAACGGUGAAACUUAAAGGAAUUGACGG